rnacentral:rRNA from 1 species
AGCGUAGACGGAGUGGCAAGUCUGAUGUGAAAACCCGGGGCUCAACCCCGGGACUGCAUUGGAAACUGUCAAUCUAGAGUACCGGAGAGGUAAGCGGAAUUCCUAGUGUAGCGGUGAAAUGCGUAGAUAUCGGGAGGAACACCAGUGGCGAAGGCGGCCUACUGGGCACCAACUGACGCUGAGGCUCGAAAGUGUGGGUAGCAAACA